rnacentral:rRNA from 1 species
UGGGGAAUAUUGCACAAUGGGGGAAACCCUGAUGCAGCGACGCCGCGUGGGUGAUGAAGGCCUUCGGGUUGUAAAGCCCUGUCGGCUGGGAACAAGUUAGACGUGCUCAUACCACGUUUGAUUGAGUGUACCAGCAAAGGAAGCACCGGCUAACCCUGUGCCAGCAGCCGCGGUAAUACAGGGGGUGCUAGCGUUGUUCGGAAUUACUGGGCGUAAAGGGCGCGUAGGUCGUCUCGCAAGUCAGAAGUGAAAUCCCGGAGCUUAACUCCGGAAUUGCUCCUGAUACUGCGGGGCUAGAGUGUAUUAGAGGAUGGCGGAAUUCCUAGUGUAGUGGUGAAAUACGUAGAUAUUAGGAAGAACACCGGUGGCGAAGGCGGCCAUCUGGGAUACAACUGACACUGAGGCGCGAAAGCGUGGGGAUCAAACAG